GCAGGGGGCAGAUCGGAGGAGUUAAUGAGGCGACCAAAUGAUCGGAUGGCGAACAAUACGGGUCCCUUCGAUCCGACGGCUACGAACCCGGCGAGAGUCUAGGAGUAGAAUGAAGGGUGCAAGUGUAGGGCUUACAUCAGAGGAAUAAAGCCGUUUGAAAGGGACGGUCUGGCGUUAGGGUUUCAAGCGAGGGAGUUGUCGGGGAGAGGAGUGGUGGGAUUAGGGCAGUUAUUAAGAGAGUGGUCUCGUGUUUAGUGUAAGGAUUAAGGACGGGUGGAGAUUCUGGACGCCCUUAAAAUUGGGACCCUCACGCCAUGGCCCUCCCGAAUCCAUGCAGAAGCAUCCGCCGCCCUGUCUGCUUUGUUGUAGGCCCUUUGCUGUUGAUGUUUUGUCUCUUUUGGAGUCAUCAUUGCCUAAAAGCGUUCCCCGGAAUGGCAGGGUGGGUAUGCGCAGAUGCUUUUUAAGGUGAGAAGGGGCCUGAAGCGGUGGUGGAGGAGCAUGGAGGAAGAGUGGUCCGUGAGCGUUUUGUAACAAGAGACCGACAAGAGAUUUGAGGGGAAUGUUGUCUGGCUCGAGGUCAUCCAUUCGUUUCGGAUGUGAGAGAGACUUUUGGAUACCCUCGGACCAGGCUUCAUUCCCCUCAAAUUCGGCUUCUCCGCUGCACUGUCAUGCGUGUGAUCUGCUCUCUGCACAGCUCCAGCAGACGGCCUUGCCGGGAACAGUUCUUCGUGUUGUUUUUCUUAAUUUUUGUGAAUUUUUUCUUCUUGCCGUCAAUUUUACUGCGUAUUCUGACUAGUUUUAUGCUGCACUUUUGAAUUUAAUUGCUUUAGGUUCGUUAUUUGACUUGGAUUUGCGUUUUUCUCCUGGUGAUAAGAUUUUCUCAUACUUCUGACUAUAUUUAUCCUGCACUUUUGAAUUUGAUUUCUUCAGGUUCGUUAUUUGACUUGGAUUUGUUUUUCGCUCCCGGUGUUCAGAUUUUCUCAUACUUAUUCUGACUAGUUUUAACCUGCACUUUUGAAUUUGAUUUCUUUAGGUUCAUUGUUCGACUUGGAUUUGCAUUUUACUACCGGUGUUAAGAUUUUCUCAUACUUAUUCUGACUAGUUUUAUGCUGCACUUUUGAAUUUGAUUUCUUUAGGUUCGUUAUUUGACUUGGAUUUGCUUUUUCGCUCCUGGUGUUAAGAUUUUCUCAUACUUGUUCUUACUUAUUCUUACUGGUUUUAUGCUGCACUUUUGAAUUUCAUUACUUUAGGUUCAUUAUUGGAUUCGGAUCUGCUCUUUGCUCCUGGUGUUGAGAUUUUCUCAUACUUACACUCUGUUUGUUUUUGCCGGCUAUUUUACAUAUUUUGUGGUUGCACUUUUAAAUUUGAUUUCUCUAGGUUCGUUAUUUGAUUUGCCUUUUGCUCCUGGUGUUGAGAUUUUAUCAUACUAACAGUGUUUGUUCUUGCGGUCUAUUUUACAUAUUUUGUGGAUGCAAACUUGCAAAGGCUCUUUAUCUUUGCAGAUCGCAUUGAUCUGAAGCUUUUGCUUAGGGUAUCUCAGGUGUUUAAUGUCUUUUAUUCUGAAUUAUUGUUGCCUUAUGCCUUCCGAAAGGCAAGUGUCGGGAUCUUCUUCUCUAUUGAACCUAUUAAGAGUUCUUUCCGAAUCGAAGUUUUGCUAGGGUUAAAGGCAUUUUUUUUGUUUUCAUGUUAAGUUCAGAUCGUUUAGUAACUGUCGUUUUAAUGAGGUAAUUUUGAUGUUGCGCUCGUAUCAGGAUCUGUAUUGAAUCUUAAUUUGAAAUUAUGUUUCUCCCCCGUGCCCGUUCUUUAGCCUAGGGUUUAGUGUUCAAAUGCGCUUCGUAUCGGUAGUACGCUAACAAAUUUGAUGCAGGAUGAAAAGCUUUUACUCGUCAGUGUUCUCGCGCUUCUUUGUGAAGAUUUUGUUAACGAUGUAAAGGUUGUGGGGACUGUCGUCUGGCUCGAGGUCGUUCGGAUUUGCUUAUUGUUGAAGCCGAACGAUGUCGGACCAGGCUUCAUUCCCCCCAACCAAAAGUCGCAUGGAUUGUGAAGGCUGACGACUAAAUCAACCUAGAUGUGCGAUCAUGAUGCGUGAGACUACUCCGUUCUUUAGUAUUUCGUUUUCAGAAGAGGAUUCACUGAUUCAUGUCGGUAAGCUGUACAGUAAGAACCUGAGACAAGUGCAAUAGAAUUGUAUGUAAGAAAUGCCUUUUGAUUACAUUCCAAUUCAGUUAUGCAGUCUUGCGCAAGUCUUUUUGCAGAUCUUUGCUAUAUUAUAUAUUGCUCAUUUCAAAUGUCGCACUUUCCGUGCUUUUCAUGACAAGCGAACGUCUUUCUUAAGGCGCCUUCCUUCUACGUUUGAAUGCUUGGGCCUUUCACUACCAUACGAGAUUUGUUUUCAUGUUGGUAACAACUCUAAGGAGUUCAGCCUCUGUUAAUGAAUGUAUUUGUGAAAGCACUCUAUUUGUCUAUCGUGUUUCCAACACUCGUGUCUCAAAAUAUAGUAGUUAUUCAUGGCAAUCUUCUAUAUUGCCAUCCAAUAACAGUUCUAUCACGUCAUGUAUCAAAUACUUUCAAUAUGCAGUUAAGGUUUUGAACGGAGAUCACAUCGGAUUUUUCACAGAGAUCAAAUCGGAUUUUUCAGAGAUCAAGUUGUUGUAAUGUACGGUAACUUAGUUUGUAACCUUUGUCAUGCUUAUAGUUUGUAACCUUUUUCAUGUUUAUUUGAGAAAAUUUCUUGCAUUUCACUGUGUUGGGACUCGGAAUAUUUAUGUCUAAUUUUGUAGACCUUGUCUUGUAUUUAAAGCUAUUCUUUAAAUUUGAAUGCGAUGAUAUAAGACGUUAUAGCAGAGGAAAUCAUUGUUGUUUGUGCUGGAUAUGGUGGAACGUGUUUGACACUUGUCAAUGUUCCUCUCAAGGAAGAUUUGAAACGAAAAUUUUCUUUUAUGAUAUUUAGAAUCAAGUUGCAUUGUUUUUAAGCAAUGCCUUGUUCAAAUAUAAUCGGAACGCCCCUGAUUUCCUGUCCUGGAGGCUCUUGCAGUAAGUAAUUGUAAUCUGGGUAGUGCUAUCAGACUCAGGAAUAUGGCUGCAUAUCCGUUCAUGAUACUAGCAUUGUAUCUCUUCUUUUGAUAAUUUAAUUUGGUACUUGGAUUCAGUCGAACAUGGGUAGACAGUGCGCUAGGGGUAUAUAAUUUACUCUUGAACGUAUAGAAUAUGGAUGCCAAUGUUGGAAAAUGUUUGGCAAUCUUUUAUUUAGCUUGUUUGCUAUGAAAACUUUACAAGAAACAAUAAAUCUAUGAUUUAUUUUCA